GCAUUCCGUAAAAACGAAAGUAGACUACAUGCUUCAUGGCUCACAAAAACAUUCCGCACACACAAAAGCACAAAGGUUUGAAUGACGUUCUGUUUCCAUAGCUUAAUGAUACAGCCAUUAUUUAUUAACAUUGUCUUCUACAAAGCUGGUCAAAACCAAAUGCGAAAAGCACGCUAAACUUUAGCUCUUGGCCUAAUUCUCGUCAGUAUUGCAAUUCAAUGGAGAAUUUUGACACAAAAAAUUAUGCAAAC